CUUGCUUCAGUAGUAUGUAAUACCAAAACUGGAAUGAUACAGAGAAGAUUAGAAUGGCCCCCAGCACAAGGAUGACACACAAAUUCUCAAAGCAGUCCAUAUUUUU